GAUGAACGCUAGCUACAGGCUUAACACAUGCAAGUCGAGGGGCAGCAUGACCUAGCAAUAGGUUGAUGGCGACCGGCGCGCGGGUGAGUAACACGUAUCCAACCUGCCGAUUAUUCCGGGAUAGCCUUUCGAAAGAAAGAUUAAUACUGGAUAGCAUAACGAGAAGGCAUCUUCUUGUUAUUAAAGAAUUUCGAUAAUCGAUGGGGAUGCGUUCCAUUAGUUUGUUGGCGGGGUAACGGCCCACCAAGACAUCGAUGGAUAGGGGUUCUGAGAGGAAGGUCCCCCACAUUGGAACUGAGACACGGUCCAAACUCCUACGGGAGGCAGCAGUGAGGAAUAUUGGUCAAUGGACGAGAGUCUGAACCAGCCAAGUAGCGUGAAGGAUGACUGCCCUAUGGGUUGUAAACUUCUUUUAUAUGGGAAUAAAGUGGGCCACGUGUGGCUUUUUGUAUGUACCAUACGAAUAAGGAUCGGCUAACUCCGUG
rnacentral:rRNA from 1 species